GGGGAGGCGACGGUGGCCGCGGGGUGGCCGAGGCUCACCCCCGCGCAACGGAACUGUUGGUGCGCUCCGACGGCGCGGAAGCCUCCGCCGAGCGCCGCCUUCUGACAGGCCUUUUUCUGGGGAUGCAGAAUGCCCAUGCCCUGGAUUCUUUGGUGGAGUUUUACUAACCACAGGAGUUGCUACCACCUCUCUGGGCAGCCUUUUCCAGAGCUUCGUCACUCCAACAAGCUCCACAGGGCUAUGUGAAGAAGGCUUCCAAAGGAGAGAUCACGUCUAGAACCCUCCUGUAGAUGGAUCACAGGCUGUUGGGCAUGUUGAAAAUGCUGUUGCGUUGGCAGACAAGCUUUGGCAAGCUGCUUCAUAGAGGCUGAAAGGAGGUUUUGCUUCCAGCUCCACUCCUCUGCUGGAAUUACUGUCUGCACAGUAAUGGGGGAAUGCAGACCUUUGACUUAGCAGCUCUGGUGCAAAGGGUAAAACAUUCACCUUUGCUAAAGGUUAAAACUGAAAUGCUUUUCUGGAAGCAUAGGUGAAUUUGCACUAAAACAUCAAACUGAGUAGAAGAAAGAGAAGCACUUGAUUCCUCCUGCUGCUCUGGUGGUUGGGAAGAUGGGAUGGAAAAGGUGAGCGGCCUUCCAUGAGGUGCAGCACAGAAGGGUGAGAAUGGCAGCAUUUGAAAUUGACUCAAUGUAACUACUGGUGCUGGUAUGAGUGACUGGCAAAUGACCAUAGUGAUUUAUGUGGAUUAUUAAGUGUCGAUAAAGAUAUUAUGUCGAUAAAGAUAUUAAUAUUAAGUGUUGAUAAAGAUACAUGAAAAUUGCACAGAAUGUGGAGCACAGGUUUGUAACUUCGAUCACCAAUUACCAAAUAAUUCCAGAGACUUACCUGUGAACUGACACUAUUAAGAUCUUCUUUAAGGUAUGUCUAAAUGGAGAAAUUCCACCAAUGUGGUGAUGGAAGAAUUAAAUUUGUGAUUCUUGCUAGACUUAUCAAGUUCCAAAUCUAAAAGUGCUCCAAAACAUUCUGGUGCCACUGCAAAAAUUAAGCUUGAGCCUAAGCCAAUGCAAAGGAAUCUUCCUGACUCUGUACAUUGGCUUGACUAUAGAAAGGGCAAAUGGCCCAAUUGUAAAAUUCCUGGCUACACCCAGAGUUGUUAAACUUCAGUAAAAAUAUAUAACAUUUUGUGGAAUUUUUAUAUUCCCACUGUUUGGUAAGGUCUAAAUAAAGCCUUUGAAGCUUCAUUUACUCAUUUUAAAUGCAGGUGUUCAAACUGGAACACAUACAUUCACCAAAACAAGGCACAGCACAAAUAGUAAAGAAGGCGAUGUGGUGGAAGACGGCAUACAUCAGUAGGAAAACAGUUAACCAAGAUUUAGUUCAUACAUAUUUAAUUGAACAUGUAUUUAAGCCAAGUAUUCUUUCCCAUAUCUUUGCAUACAUACUUCUAUGUCUCUUUCUGUAUAGCGAACUUUUCAGUCCUCUCGUUUCCCCAUGUUUUUAUACACUCAUGAUUUUUUUUUUGUACUGCUUAGACCUGACCUCUCUUAUUUUUUCCCUGACUGUAUUCACAUCUGGCUUUUAUCAUUUUGUUUGUCUGGCUAACUGCAAAGCAAUACCCUCCAAUCUUGCUAGUCUAUCAGCAGUGUGAAAAUACCACGAAAUGUAAACCACCAGCAAAUGUGUGAACUACCAGAAAGCUGCUAUUUGCAGAGUGGUGAAUUACAGAGAGCGUAAGAAAAGCAGCAAAAAUGUUUUGUUGUUAACACUGUCACUUCUUCCCCUUCCCCCCCCCCCCCUUUUUUCUUUUUUGCCAUGGAUUUUGUAAUGGGUAAGAUUUACUUAAAAAUAACAAUGAAUUGCAUGAACACCUUGAAAUUAACAGUAGUUAAAUAUUGACAUUAAUUUCAAUAUUUUAAAAAUCAGGUUUUGCAGAAUAUAUCUUUGUAUAUUGUUCCUGAUAUUUGGCAGACUGCUCUUGGCAAAUGCUCCUGUAGUGCCUCAGUCACAUCAACGCACAGAUUGCUGUGUUGCCAUAAAACUAAUUUCAUUUGCAAUUUCCACAUGGGGAGAGGAAAUUGCAAUUAAGUGACUGAGGCAUGAAUGUGUUUCGUUCUGCUGCAUCUGCGGUCAGGAUGAUUGUCUGUAUCGAAGUGAUGGUACAGACACGUGGGUCAGUGUCAUUUGAAAUUUCUUCACCAAGAUUCAGCAAGUCUGUUAAUCCAUGUUUAAAAAUAUGACUAUAAAAUAACAUUAAUAUAUUAUAUUUAAUACUUAUUAUCUCUCUUCUGCUGCUCAGAGGGCUAACUGGC
rnacentral:lncRNA from 1 species